rnacentral:rRNA from 1 species
GACGAACGCUGGCGGCGUGCUUAACACAUGCAAGUCGAACGAAGAGCGAUGGAAGCUUGCUUCUAUCAAUCUUAGUGGCGAACGGGUGAGUAACGCGUAAUCAACCUGCCCUUCAGAGGGGGACAACAGUUGGAAACGACUGCUAAUACCGCAUACGAUCUAAUCUCGGCAUCGAGGAAAGAUGAAAGGUGGCCUCUAUUUAUAAGCUAUCACUGAAGGAGGGGAUUGCGUCUGAUUAGCUAGUUGGAGGGGUAACGGCCCACCAAGGCGAUGAUCAGUAGCCGGUCUGAGAGGAUGAACGGCCACAUUGGGACUGAGACACGGCCCAGACUCCUACGGGGGGCAGCAGUGGGGAAUCUUCCGCAAUGGACGAAAGUCUGACGGAGCAACGCCGCGUGAGUGAUGACGGCCUUCGGGUUGUAAAGCUCUGUUAAUCGGGACGAAAGGCCUUCUUGCGAACAGUUAGAAGGAUUGACGGUACCGGAAUAGAAAGCCACGGCUAACUACGUG